rnacentral:rRNA from 1 species
GGUUAAGCUAAUAAGAGCACACGGAGGAUGCCUAGGCACCAGGAGCCGAAGAAGGACGUGGCGAACGACGAAAUGCCUCGGGGAGCCGUAAGCAGGCUUUGAUCCGGGGAUGUCCGAAUGGGGGAACCCGCGUGAGGUAAUACUCACGUACCACACAGUGAAUACAUAGCUGUGUAGGAGGCAGACGAGGGGAACUGAAACAUCUAAGUACCCUCAGGAAAAGAAAACAAAAGUGAUUCCGUCAGUAGCGGCGAGCGAAAGCGGAACAGCCCAAACCAAGGGGCUUGCCCCUUGGGGUUGUAGGACGUCAAUGUGAGUGCAGGUUGGUAGGCGAACAGGUCUGGAAAGGCCGGCCAAAGUGGGUAACAGCCCCGUAACCGAAAGCAACCGAGACUCUAGACGGAUCCUGAGUACGGCGGGACACGUGAAACCCCGUCGGAAUCCGGCAGGACCAUCUGCCAAGGCUAAAUACUCCCUGGUGACCGAUAGUGAAGCAGUACCGUGAGGGAAAGGUGAAAAGAACCGCGGGAGCGGAGUGAAAAAGAACCUGAAACCGUGUGCUUACAAGAAGUCAGAGCUCGUUAAUGAGUGAUGGCGUGCCUUUUGUAGAAUGAACCGGCGAGUUACGUUUACGCGCAAGGUUAAGGUGAGAAGCCGGAGCCGCAGCGAAAGCGAGUCUGAAUAGGGCGAAGCCAAUGCUUACGAAGUAGCAAUACUGCGUAUUGCUUGGAAGUACGUAGACGUAGACCCGAAACCGUGUGAUCUACCCCUGUCCAGGGUGAAGGUGCGGUAACACGCACUGGAGGCCCGAACCCACGAAUGUUGAAAAAUUCGGGGAUGAGGUGGGGGUAGCGGAGAAAUUCCAAUCGAACUCGGAGAUAGCUGGUUCUCCCCGAAAUAGCUUUAGGGCUAGCCUCGGGUGAUGAGUCGCGGAGGUAAAGCACUGAUUGGGUGCGGGGCCCGCCAAGGGUUACCAAGUCCAGUCAAACUCUGAAUGCCGCAGACUUUAACCCGGGAGUCAGACAGUGAGUGCUAAGAUCCAUUGUCAAGAGGGAAACAGCCCAGAUCAUCAGCUAAGGUCCCCAAGUGUGUGUUAAGUGGGAAAGGAUGUGGAGUUGCAAAGACAACCAGGAUGUUGGCUUAGAAGCAGCCACCAUUGAAAGAGUGCGUAAUAGCUCACUGGUCGAGUGACUCUGCGCCGAAAAUGUAACGGGGCUAAACACACCACCGAAGCUAUGAGUCCAAUGAUGGGCAGUAGGGGAGCGUUGUAACAGCAGUGAAGGUUGAUCGUGAGGACAGCUGGAGCGGUUACAAGUGAGAAUGCCGGUAUGAGUAACGAAAAGACAAGUGAGAAUCUUGUCCGCCGUAAGCCUAAGGGUUCCUGAGGAAGGUUCGUCCGCUCAGGGUAAGUCGGGACCUAAGGCGAGGCCGAAAGGCGUAGUCGAAGGACAACAGGUUGAAAUUCCUGUACCACCGUGAACCGUUAUGAGCAAUGGGGUGACGCAGAAGGAUAGUGACGCGGACUGAUGGAUGUCCGUCCAAGCAGCGAGGCUGGUUAGUAGGCAAAUCCGCUAACCGUAAGGCUGGGCUGUGAUGGGGAGCGAAAUUAUAGUAGCGAAGGUCAUGAGUUCAAGCUGCCAAGAAAAGCCUCUAGCCAGGGAGAAGGUGCCCGUACCGCAAACCGACACAGGUAGGCGAGCAGAGCAUGCUAAGGCGCUCGGAAGAACUCUCGUUAAGGAACUCGGCAAAAUGACCCCGUAACUUCGGGAGAAGGGGUGCCUCGGUAGGGUGAAUAGCCCGAGGGGGCCGCAGUGAAAAGGCCCAAGCGACUGUUUAGCAAAAACACAGGUCUGUGCGAAGCCGCAAGGCGAAGUAUACGGGCUGACGCCUGCCCGGUGCUGGAAGGUUAAGGGGAGCGGUUAGGGGUUAAACCCGAAGCUGUGAACCGAAGCCCCAGUAAACGGCGGCCGUAACUAUAACGGUCCUAAGGUAGCGAAAUUCCUUGUCAGGUAAAUUCUGACCCGCACGAAUGGCGUAACGACUUGGGCGCUGUCUCGACGAGAGAUCCGGUGAAAUUUUAAUACCUGUGAAGAUGCAGGUUACCCGCGACAAGACGGAAAGACCCCAUGGAGCUUUACUGCAGCUUGAUAUUGGACUUUGGUACGAUCUGUACAGGAUAGGUGGGAGCCUAGGAAGCCGGAGCGCCAGCUUCGGUGGAGGCGCCGUUGGGAUACCACCCUGAUCGUAUCGGAGUUCUAACCUGGCACCCUGAUCGGGUGCGGGGACAGUGUCAGGUAGGCAGUUUGACUGGGGCGGUCGCCUCCUAAAGAGUAACGGAGGCGCCCCAAGGUUCCCUCAGAAUGGUUGGAAAUCAUUCGAAGAGUGCAAAGGCAUAAGGGAGCUUGACUGCGAGACGUACAGGUCGAGCAGGGACGAAAGUCGGGCUUAGUGAUCCGGUGGUACCGAAUGGAAGGGCCAUCGCUCAACGGAUAAAAGCUACCCUGGGGAUAACAGGCUUAUCUCCCCCAAGAGUCCACAUCGACGGGGAGGUUUGGCACCUCGAUGUCGGCUCAUCGCAUCCUGGGGCUGAAGUAGGUCCCAAGGGUUGGGCUGUUCGCCCAUUAAAGCGGUACGCGAGCUGGGUUCAGAACGUCGUGAGACAGUUCGGUCCCUAUCUGUCGCGGGCGUAGGAAAUUUGAGAGGAGCUGUCCUUAGUACGAGAGGACCGGGAUGGACGUACCGCUGGUGUACCAGUUGUCUCGCCAGAGGCACGGCUGGAUAGCCAAGUACGGAAGGGAUAAGCGCUGAAAGCAUCUAAGCGUGAAGCCCCCCUCAAGAUGAGAUUUCCCAGUAUGUAAGACCCCUUGUAGACGACGAGGUAGAUAGGUUCGGGGUGGAAGCGCGGCAACGUGUGGAGCUGACGAAUACUAAUCGGUCGAGGGCUUAUCCUA